UCUAUGCUUGCUUCCAAGCUUCUUCUUUCUUAAAUCUUAUCUUUUCUCACUCAAAGGUUGAUACUCAUCAUCAUCAUCAUCAUCUUCAACAUUUUCAACAUCUUCAUUACUAGUCCUAAGAAUUAUAGAGGCUUCUUUCUUCAUCUCUUCAUCUUCAUUCAUACCAUCUUUAUUGUCAUUAUCAUUUUCUUCUUUCAUUACUUAAAUUGAAGAUGUGUCCACAAAUA
rnacentral:lncRNA from 1 species